AGGUGCAACCAAAACAGCUGUUAGACACAGCAACCGGGAGAUUCUGGCAGGGUGUCUGGCUAGCAUUAGUGCUGAAUAAUACGGUUGUGUUUUUGCUCACUAAGAUGGCUGUGACUUUUGGACUCUCUUUGAGUGUUUCUUGGAUUUGUUGCCUGCUAAUUGGAGGGAUAACGUGUUUUACCAUUCAAGGUAACGCUCAUGGGCAUGCUGCCUACCCUGGACCUGAACCAACUGGAACAUCUGCCCCAGCAAGUGUGGUGUCUGGUCCAAAUUCCAAAGCUACUGGCCACAAUGCCCCGUCAGCAGGAGCUACUGGCCACAAUGCCCCGUCAGCAGGAGCUACUGGCCACAAUGCCCCGUCAGCAGGAGCUACUGGCCACAAUGCCCCGUCAG